AUUGAACGCUGGCGGCAGGCCUAACACAUGCAAGUCGAAUGGUAACAGGAAACAGCUUGCUGUUUCGCUGACGAGUGGCGGACGGGUGAGUAAUGUCUGGGAAACUGCCUGAUGGAGGGGGAUAACUACUGGAAACGGUAGCUAAUACCGCAUAACGUCGCAAGACCAAAAGAGGGGGGACCUUCGGGCCUCUUGCCAUCAGAUGUGCCAGAUGGGAUUAGCUAGUAGGUGGGGUAACGGCUCACCUAGGCGACGAUCCCUAGCUGGUCUGAGAGGAAUGGACCAGCCACACUGGAACUGAGACACGGUCCAGACUCCUACGGGAGGCAGCAGUGGGGAAUAUUGCACAAUGGGCGCAAGCCUGAUGCAGCCAUGCCGCGUGUAUGAAGAAGGCC
rnacentral:rRNA from 1 species